rnacentral:rRNA from 1 species
GACGAACGCUGGCGGCGUGCUUAACACAUGCAAGUCGAACGGAAAGGCCCUGCUUUUGUGGGGUGCUCGAGUGGCGAACGGGUGAGUAACACGUGAGUAACCUGCCCUUGACUUUGGGAUAACUUCAGGAAACUGGGGCUAAUACCUGAUAGGAGCUCCUGCUGCAUGGUGGGGGUUGGAAAGUUUCGGCGGUUGGGGCUGGUAACCUGGCUUAUCAGCUGGUUGGUGGGUCAGGGGCUUACGAAGGCUUUGACGGGGCGCCGGCCUGAGAGGGUGACCGGCCACAUUGGGACUGAGAUACGGCCCAGACUCCUACGGGAGGCAGCAGUGGGGAAUAUUGCACAAUGGGCGGAAGCCUGAUGCAGCAACGCCGCGUGCGGGAUGACGGCCUUCGGGUUGUAAACCGCUUUCGCCUGUGACGAAGCGUGAGUGACGGUAAUGGGUAAAGAAGCACCGGCUAACUACGUG